CAGAGUCCUUCAGGUCAUUGUUACUGAGAUCCAGAUGUUUGAGGCCUGAGGAGCAGGACAAGACUGAAGACAGGAGACCACAGCUCUGCUCUGAGAGGCUACAGCACUGCAGUCUGUGAGACAGAUCACACAGGUCGAGAAAGACAAGCAGCAAAUGUCACCAGGCCAAGUUCCAGGUCAUGUUUGUGGAGAAACAACUCCGCUCACAGCAAGAAUGCAUGCUUUUAAAGGUAUUUUGGAUGCAUAAAAAUACCAGGAAUGGAAUAGUGCUUGUCAAGUCGUGCAUCUUUAACACAGUCAGAAACCCCAGGCCUGUAGUUCACCUGAGAGACUCUAGGGUGCAGUGUGGGCUCUGCAGUCCCUCUGUGAGCAGCUGUAGUCCAGAGUCCCCCAGAUUGUUCUGGCUCAGAUCCAGCUCCUUCAAACAUGACGACUGUGCAAAUACAACUUUAGACAGAGCCGCACAAGCCUCCUCUCCCAGACCACAGGCAGACAGGCUACAGGAAAACAACAAAACAAGUGUUAAAGAGGUGUGUGUGUGUGCGUGCAUGUGUGUGUGUGUGUGUGUGUCUCACAGUGCUGUGUGAGUGAGGACAAUUUAGACCACUCCCCCCUGCAUCGUAUGAGUGUGUAGGGUGUUGGCUCUGGUUCAGUGUGGAUCAAAGAUAACACCAUGAGUGUGAGGAGGCGUCUUUGGCCCUUUAAAUGGAGUGUAUGAGAACAGCCCUGCACUUCAAGAACUCUGCAUGUGCUGCACCAUUACCAGAGCUCACAGGUAAGGUCUGUACGACUCCUCAAACGCAGGUACAGUAUUAACAGUAAGCAUUCACAGUGUCAUGUUUUUUAUAACAUGUAACAUCUGUUUCCCUGUUUUUUUAGGCUCAGACGAAGGUUAUUCCAAAAACAGUUACUUCAGAUUAUUGUUAUACAUUAGUUUUUUUGAAUGUGGAUGUGGGUCCUUGGGUUUGUCCAGUGCACCCUGAAGUACCAGCUGCAGUGCUCGUAUUGUAAUCAACGUGCUGUGGGCAAUAGGGGUGGCACGGUUCAUGAAAAAAAAACUAACCGUAGGGUUCGCUUGUCACGGUUCAGGACGUGGGCUUACCGUACGGUUUCCAUGGUUCCCGGCUUAUGCAAUUGUAGCCACGUGCCCAUAUGUGACCUGUUUCAAUUUGGCGCAAAAGAAGAGGUGUGGAGGGUGGGUGCUGCGUGUCAUGUGUAGAAAUGGCAAGUAGAGGGGCGUAUGGAGAUGGUUCGUUACCUCUGAAAUCACAGCUGCGCGUCACCGUAAAGACAGUAAAUACCUUCUGUACAGGCUGACCACAGCAAACACCAGGAUUUCAAAAGUAAAUUUUAAAGCACUUAUUAAGAGUUUUUCUGGACCUGGGCUCUUUCACGUGACACAGAACUGCCCCAGGAGCAUGUUGUGCUGGCGGUAAACACACAAAUACAACCAAAGACAAAGAUGCAUGCUCUCUGUGUAUUUUGAUGAGGAUACGCGCCUACGCUCACGUAAAGCAUCAAAAAAUAGGAUCCAUCCUAUUUUCUGAAAUCUACACAUACAGCUAGCUCAUGCAGUGGAGCCUCCCUCAGUCACUUUCCAUGCAUUCUUAAAAGUUACGCGUCCAAAAGUUGCAGUUUUUACACUCACGUAGGGCGAAAUACACAUGCAGUGGAGCCAGGCCCUUAACUUAGUAACCAAGACAACAAUCUCACUAAACCAAGUAUUCCGACUCCUGAGGAGGGUUAGGAAGGUGGUAAUAUUUUUUCUCUUUGGUAUCUCUUUGUAUAUUUUAUACAGAGGGAUAUCAGCCUGGUUUCCACACACUCCAUCACAUCUCAAGCAGAACCAAACAGGAUUGUGUAAUCAGAUUUGUUUCUUUUAGUGAUACAUAUGAAAUAAAGGAGCUCAUUGAUCACCAGGCCACCAAAACAGUGCUCAUUGAUUCAGCAGAAAUCGGCAAUGUUUUUCAGUCCCCUGUGACGCUUUCUCUUUGUUUUUUCCUCAUGAGCAGCCAUAUUUAAUUCGAUACGAGCCAUGUGUAACAGGGGGAAUGGGACUUUAAUGGGUGUGUUUUUCCUUUGUGUGGGUUUUUUCUUUGUUUGGUAUGGGCCAAUGGCCAUGUAAUUGGCAGCUGUGGGGCGGUGCCUAUUGCAUAAAAACCCUGUAAACCUUCUCCCUCUCACACCUGGUUGUCCUUUGUUCAGGUUAGUAAAAAGCAGCUCAAUACAUGGCACUUGGGUCUAACUGAUUUCAUUUUGUUCAUUGAAUGUCUCGCUCUCUCUCACACCUGCUUGUCCUUUGUUCAGGAGGUCCUUGGACAGUCCUAAGAUAUAUCGGCCACUCUGUGGAUCAAACUGGAGCACGCUGGGGACAAGGUGCGACACCGGCCAUGCCAGCCGUCAUUUGCCUGCCACGGAGUCACGCCAGCUGACUGAAUGCCUGGACCUCUGGACUAGCUCAAAGUUUUAACCUUUUUGUCAAACUUAACAAACUUCUCCCACUCCUAUGACCUGUUGAUUCCUCUUUUAACUUAAAACGACUGUGGAUUAUGGUUAUAAAAUCCUUCAAACUGAA